CAUUUCUGUUACUGAAGUGAGCGACAAGACCGGCUUGCGAAAUCGUGUGCUGUUCACCUAACUUGUAUGUCAGAAUUGGGAGGAAAUGGAAAAUGACACCUUAAAAUGCUUACGUCAAAAACAACACAUUGAAAUGCAUAUAUAUAAAAAAGAAGAGUUUCAAAUGGAAGCACUUUAAUAGAAGUAGUUUUUCCACUUAUUUAUUUGCUUUUGAGACGAAGGCAGGGACAGCGGACCAAAUAAGCUUUUAACACAGACAGCGCAAAGCGAAAGUAAAAUUAUUCAAGGAGCUACAGUAGCACUCAACCCUAUCUGCUGGCGAGAAACAAAAAUGUAGCUUGAAAUGUCUGUAGUCGCGCCUCCAGAACCAGAUAUUAAAUUAUAUUCUUUUGUUUUUGUUAUUAGAAUUUGGGGAUGGUAUUUCAGUCGUAAUCGUUCAGUUGAACUGUUACAGGUUUGACAUCCCGUGUUAAUUUACUGUUAGAAAAUUAGGGUUGUGGUUGCUUCCAGUUAAUGAAGAACAGAAUUUUUUAUGAUUGUAGAAUACAUUAAAUAAUAAACAAAGACUACACAGAAGUUGCUCCUCUAAAGUACAAGUGAGGUUUUUUAUAUGCCGUAUUAAAAGCUUUGCCAUUCCUUGAGAGAAAAGCCCUGCGCAAUAUUACUAAUAAUACUGCAGGAGAUUAAUCGAUGUAUUUAUAAAGUUAACAGUCGUGUUACAACAGCUGUUGAGAACUGCACCGUGGAACAAUACAAUUCAGUAGUGUCCCAAAUGGAGGGAUAUUUAUUUCCAUCAAUAUCCACCAAAGGGCGAUAAAUGUUUUUACUGGGUGUGUCCUCUGGCUGUUCAUGAGUCUUCUGUUCUUAUAUUUAUCUGUCCAUCCGUUUUCUAACCCCUUGUUCUGAUUCAGGGCCGUGGGGCAGGCGGAGCCUAUCCCAGCAGGCAACAGGUGCAAGGCAGGGGUACAUUCUAGAUGGGACGCCAGUGCGUUGCAAGGCACACACAGACACACUCACACCAGGAAAAAACAUAAACCCUAAGGAUUGAAUCCGGGGCCCCACCACUGCAAGGCAGCAAUGUCCUGUGCACGCUGAGCCACCUGAUCGUCUGCUGGAAUAUAGUCGUCGUCGCCCUAGGACUGCACUGUCCGCAGAGAGGGAGACUGCUCUGCACAGCUCGGCCUCAGAAAGGAGUGCACUAUCGCAGGGUUAGCUGGUACAGGGUAUUGGGUGAAAACCAGUUGUCGGGUUUGGUCUUGAAAGACCUCCUCAGCAACUGGACAAGACCCUACAUCCAUGUAAACCGAUCCUAUGAGAUUGAUGCCGAUUCCUCACUUGUCGUACCGCUGCCUAGAGCAGAGGAUGAGGGUCUGUACCGCUGUGUGCUCUGGGCACCAGUGGGAGAGCAGAUUCAGACAGGAGAUGCGCUUGUAUCUGUGCAUGGCUGUACUCUGCACCAGUCUCCUGCAGUGGACAUCCAGCGACGAGCAGCACUGAAGUUGCCGGACUCUGCUGAUGCGGUUUCAUGGUUGCUGCUGUUAGGUCUUCUAAUUGCCAUAACAUUAGCGGUGAGAAGGAGAGAAAAAACGGAUUCUCGCAUAAAGUGUUAGAAUUAUAAAUGCGUCAGUCCUGUGGGGUUAAAAUUAAAAUUGACUUGAAACAUUGCUUUUCUCUGUUUUUGUUUUUCUUCGCCAUUGAUAAAGUACAGGACGUAUCUUUCCCCUAAGGUUAGAAUGUGCCGUUUCUAAGUUACCACCUCUUACGGGAAACUAUGGGUAGUAAGAAGCUGUUUAAAUGUCAGCAGAAAUGUAUGCCACUAAGUCCGUUUGCUGCACUCGGUCAUAUUUUCCUCCAACCUCAACAGAAAAGCCGUCCUCAGGAAGUUACCCUAUUCUAAGAGCAAGAUAAUCAACAAGAGGGACAGUAUGUGGGCAGUUAUAGGCAACCGCAGAUGGCAAUUUUGUAUAGGUUUUAGGAAAUGUCGGAAAACAAAAUCUAAGAACGCAAGACACAGCGCGACAGAGUUGCCCCCUCUCGAUGCGGAAAUGUUGGACUUGCUCUCCUGAAUGAUUUAUUCUCCAGCUCAGUAAGACGCUGGGCAAAGAGAAGAGCCGGGAUUCGGGAAUGAUGCGAGUCUCAUUUGCAGCGGGGUGCGACCACUGCGCUCCAGUCCAAAUAACAGGACAAGACAAAUGCGCCAAGAGGAAAUGGGCAUCACUUAAACCCCAGUCCUGUGCGCUUUAUACUACAGAGAAAAACAGGGGAAGAGAGGAAAUAGAUUCUGUGAGAGCGACACGGAGAAUGAGGGAUUCUCGAAGCUUUUGCAGAUGCAGCUGUUUGAACAAAUCUGAAAAGUCAGAAACCCUUCUUAUUCCGCCCACCGUUACUUAUUUUUGGUUGAUGACAAAUUCACAUCCCCCUAUACCACCUACUUUGUAUAAUUAAAAAAAACAGGUAAUAAAGACAAGAAACGUGUUACGCUGAGGUUAUCGAGUUUUUGGCACGGAAGAUAGCAUUCACAGGUCCCGCUCUGCUUCCAGUGUGGGCCGUUUCCUAUGGCAUUUUUUAAAAUUAAAUUCGCUGCGAUUCUGUGUGUGGCUGUGGUGCUCCAGAGACCAUUCAGCAAAGCCCAGGAUCUGGUUGUGGCUGAUUGCAAUACAGAGGCCACUCUGCCUUGCACUGCUGUCCAGAGAGCCACCCAGUACCGAUCUGUCCACUGGUAUAAGGUUGAUGGCAACCGGACAGGGAUUCUCAGGAAGACGAAUAACAAAGUGAGUCUCUACGCCUCGGCAAAGGAGGCCAAACUUGGUCCUGGAGAAGCUCUUGUCCUUCCCAGUGUCAAACCUGAGGAGUCAGGGAUCUAUCAGUGUUCCCUCUACGCAGUACUGGGGCACCGAAAUCAGGACUCACUCAUCACUUUGAAAGUGGAAGAGUGUGUGACGUCCAUCAUGUCCACCACUGUUCCUGUUCAACAGCGGAUCACAACUGUCUUGACUGGGGAAGAGAACUCCACUGAGCUGUGUGACCAGGUGAUACUGCUGCCAUCCUUUGUGGUGGUCUCUGGUUUCACAGCUGUGGGCCUGCUGAAGACAGCACUUUCCUUUGCCUGUGUUGCGGUAUUUCUGAAGAUCUGCGAGAAGCGAGAAAAGAGGAUGGAAAGACAAUAUUGGAGAUAGAGUGGGCAUGGCCUCAGGACAAUGUAGACACUAGUCUCAUCUAGCACAGUCACAGCCAGCACCGACACUGGAGUCAACAGCAAACAGAAUGGUCAAGCCCUCGGAAGACAAUGAGCUGUGAAACAGGAGAUGAACAGUUGACACACACAUGAAAAGCCAGGACAGGCAGAGGGGAGACUGUGGUCUACUACACAGUGAUGAAACUCAUCCUCUUUUUUUUUCAAUACCUUAAAACAGUCAUAUCCAGGUGACCCCCCUGGCAAAUUUAAGACAUUUCCAUGAAUAUUAUGCAAAACUUCCCACAGGCUGGUUACUUUAAAAAUAUUGUAGGCUGUGUGGCAAAACAAUACAGAACCUCCUCAAAACUCUCAGUUAAAGACAGGACAUCAUUGAUAUACAGUUCUUUUGUUUUUUCACAGAGGAUGAGUGUAACAUUUGCAUUCUUUUUGUCUGUGCUUAGCAGCUAUAUUAGUGUCAUGGUAGUCUGAAAUUAUAUUGUGUAGGUUGUGUGGGAAUGUAAAUAUUACGAUAUUACUAAUUACAGUAACAUUAUUACAUUGCAGUCUGAAUAAAUAUUACUAAGGUUUAACUUUGUUUUAGGAUUCUAUUUAUUAGUUUCUUUUAAUCUCAUCUGUAACUUUUAAUACUGUUUUCAGAAUGUGUAUACUAAAUAAACUGUAUAUGUUGUAUAUACUGUACACUGUAUUGUGUAACAUGUAGUUGCUCAUUAAACUG